UUGAGCAGGGAACAACUUAUAAGUAUUUAGGUGUUUACUUUAUGAUUCUAAGCUGCAAUGGAGUCAUCAAGUGGACUAUGUUUGUACACAAGCUAGUCAGUCUAUAAUAUGUUAUGGUUUUACAAUAUGGUUUGGCAGUUUUACUGUUAAACUCAGAUCACAACUUUAAAAUGUGCUGGAAAAAUAAUUGGUAUGUUGUCCCCACUUUCUCUUCAGGACAUUUUUGAGAGGUCUGUUGGGAAGCAGAGUCUUAAAAUUGCUGUAUUCUCCACAAGGAGCAUGAGCUGAUGCCCUCAGGCAGGAGAUAUAGGGUACCAAGCUGUAAGAUGAAUAGAACAUGGAUUCGCUCUCUCUGAAGUUACCAAAGGAAAGGCUGAAGGUGCUUCCGAGUCUCUUGGUGACAGCGCCGCUCCUCCAGCUCCAGUUCCUCAGAGACGAGGAUCCGCGCUCGUCUUCCCGGCCCGCUGUCCUCUGGCUGCCCGACUGACACUCCUUCUCUCCGGCAGCUGAGAGAGUCGUCCUCCUCUCAACCUACCGGAACACGAUUUACUGCUUUAAAUCAUAUCAAUUUAAUCUGGCUUCAAAGAGUUUUCAUAAUCGAUUUACAUUACAUGCAUGAGAAUUUCAUCAUAUAAAUAUCAGCAUCUCCACCAAA